AGUAGAACAGCUCAUCUCCGUCACUCUACAGAAAUGGAGGACCACCACCUUCGACAUGUGAUAAGCCUUUGGAAACUGGUGCCUUGGGCAAGGAUAUGCCCAACUGGUACCUGCAGGCUUUCAUCUACUUACGGGUUGCAUGUUACAAUGAGCAUCAUCUUUCUGUGUGUCUGAGAUGAGUUUUCAAAAAGCCAUGAACCAUGAUAAACCCCAGGAAAACUGUGAAGCUCAAGGACGACUCUACAUCUCGACGUCAAGUGUCUGGCCCAUAACAAGUGCUCAAUGAAUUCCUGUUGACAGAAUAAA